UUUAACCUUGCCUUUAGCUAAAUCCUUGUCGCCAGUCUCUUUCAAAAAUGUUUGGGCAGUCUUAACGUAACCAUUUUCUUGUAAGAAAUGGUAAAUUAAAGGGCAAACUUUGCUCUUCAUACUAAUCUCUCCCAUCACGAAGAUGGCACUUUCUAAGUGCAGGUCAGCCUUAGUAAAUCAGAAGCUGGGCACUUGUUAAUUGGGAUAUUCCCACAUAAUAAAUUAGAU